rnacentral:rRNA from 1 species
GUCUAGAGCAAUGCUACCCUGAACAAACAUGAUCCCAUCUGAUCUCGGAAGCUAAACAGGGUCAGGCCUGGUCAGUACUCGGAUGGAAGACCACCUAGGAAGACCAGGUGCUGUACGCG